rnacentral:rRNA from 1 species
UGGGGAAUAUUCCGCAAUGGACGAAAGUCUGACGGAGCAACGCCGCGUGAGUGAUGAAGGUUUUCGGACUGUAAAGCUCUGUUGUUUAGGACGAAAGUGCCUGUUGCAAAUAGUUGCAGGUAUUGACGGUACUGAACGAGGAAGCCACGGCUAACUACGUGCCAGCAGCCGCGGUAAUACGUAGGUGGCAAGCGUUGUCCGGAAUUAUUGGGCGGAAAGAGCAUGUAGGCGGAAAUUUAAGUCUGUUGUGAAAAUGCGGGGCUCAACCCCGUAUUGCGAUGGAAACUGGGUUUCUUGAGUGCAGGAGAGGAAAGGGGAAUUCCCAGUGUAGCGGUGAAAUGCGUAGAUAUUGGGAGGAACACCAGUGGCGAAGGCGCCUUUCUGGACUGUGUCUGACGCUGAGAUGCGAAAGCUAGGGGAGCGAACG